UACGUAGGGUGCUAGCGUUGUCCGGAUUUAUUGGGCGUAAAGGGCUCGUAGGCGGCGUGUCGCGUCGGGAGUGAAAGCCCGCUGCUUAACGGCGGGUUGGCUUCCGGUACGGGCAUCGCUGGAGUGCGGCAGGGGAGACUGGAAUUCCUGGUGUAGCGGUGAAAUGCGCAGAUAUCAGGAGGAACACCGGUGGCGAAGGCGGGUCUCUGGGCCGGUACCGACGCUGAGGAGCGAAAGCGUGGGGAGCGAACAGG
rnacentral:rRNA from 1 species